rnacentral:misc_RNA from 1 species
AUGAAGAACGCAGCGAAAUGCGAUAAGUAAUGUGAAUUGCAGAAUUCAGUGAAUCAUCGAAUCUUUGAACGCACAUUGCGCCCGCCAGUAUUCUGGCGGGCAUGCCUGUCCGAGCGUCAUUUCAACCAUCAAGCCCCGGGCUUGUGUUGGGGACCUGCGUCCGACGCAGGCCCCGAAAACCAGUGGCGGGCUCGCUGUCCACACCGAGCGUAGUAGCUAACCUCGCUCCGGAGUGGCGCGGGCGCCUGCCGUAAAACCCCCCAAUUUUACAAGGUUGACCUCGGAUCAGGUAGGAAUACCCGCUGAACUUAAGCAUAUCAAUAAGCGGAGGA